CUUCCUACUCCUUUCUGCCCCUUCCUGCCCCUUGCUGACCGUUCCUACACCCGGUUGACCCCUCCUGCCCCUUGCAAACACUUCCUACUCCUUGCUGACCCCUCCUGCCCCUUGAAGACCCUUCCUACUCCUGGUUGACCUUUCCUGCUCCUUGCUGCCCCUUCCUACUCCUUGCUGAAACCUCCUGCCCCUUCCUACUCCUUGAUGACCCCUCCUGCCCCUUGCAGACCCUUCC